rnacentral:lncRNA from 1 species
GUUAGCAAAGGUGUCAGCUAGAGAUGACGUGCAGGAUCUUGCAGGGAUUUGUAGUCUUGAAUGAUGUCUACUCUGAUGCAAAUUAGCUUUUUCGAAUCUUAGCGUAAAUAGAGCUGAAUAUAUUGAUAAAAGUCACCUUGUCCGAGAGGUUUACAUGGAUAUCAAAGUGUCACGCCAGUGUAAACCUAUACGAAAGACAGCCCUUAGUUUAAAAGUUUCUAAAAUCCCCUAUGGGAAAAAUGAAUGGUGUAAAAAACAAUUGGAACCAAUUUGACCGCUAGGUUUUAUGGGUAUUAUAACACCUCCACUGUGGGGCUCUAUAGUAGUGAGGCAACAAUGGAUAUUGACAAUGAGUUCAUACAUUAUGUAAAGUCUAAUGGAAAAACUGGAAUGUGGACAUUGAGGAAAAGAAAGCUCCUACUGUCACAGGCGUCGAAAUGAGUAGACCAAGGUGUAUAGUGCUCAUUUUUAAACUUUUAAUGAAGACACUUGAACCAAAACAAUAAAACGACCGACAACAGUUCCAUAAGGUACACACUGACAAAACGGAAAACAACUACCCACAAAAAACAAAGGAAAAACAGGCUGCCUAAGUAUGGCUUCCAAUCAGAGACAACGAUAGACACCUGCCUCUGAUUGGAAACCAUACCCGGCCAAAACAUAGAACACAAAACAUAGAAUGCCCACCCACUUAUCACACCCUGGCCUAGCUAAACAGAGAAAACACAGCUCUCCUAGGUCAGAGCGUGACAGUACCCACCCCCCCAAAGGUGCGAACUCCCGGCCGUAAACCUGAACCUAUUGGGGAGGGUCCGGGUGAGCAUCUAUAAUUGGCGGCGGCUCUGGUUUGGGGCGUAGCCCCCACACCGCCCGCUGAUCCCCCCGCUUCUGUGUCGCCGGAGGAACCAGACCGUGGAUCAGCGCCAGAGGCUCUGAACUGCCGACCGCCGCUGAAGACUCUGGGCUGCAGGCCGCCGCUGAAGACUCGGGGCUGCAGACCGUCGCUGAAGACUCAGUGCUGCAGACCGUCGCUGAGGACUCCGGGCUGCAGACCGUCGCUGAGGACUCCGGGCUGCAGACCGUCGCUGAAGACUCCGGGCUGCAGACCACCGCUGGAGGCUCCGGACUGGGGAGCGUCGCUGGAGGCUCCGGACUGGGGAGCGUCGCUGGAGGCUCCGGGCUGAGGAGCGUCGCUGGGGGCUCCGGGCUGAGGAGCGUCGCUGGGGGCUCCGGGCUGAGGAGCGUCGCUGGGGGCUCCGGGCUGAGGAGCGUCGCUGGGGGCUCCGGGCUGAAGAGCGUCUCUGUAGGUUCCGAACUGGGGACCUUCGCUGCAGGCUCCGUGCCAUGGAUCAUCACUACUGGUUCCGCGUCAUGCAUCAUCACUGGAGGCUUUGUGCCAUGGAUCAUCACUGGAGGCUCCGGGCCAUGUAUUAUCACUGGAGGCUUCGUGCCAUGGAUCAUCCCUACAGGCUCCGGGCCAUGGAUCAUCACUGGAGGCUUUGUGCCAUGGAUCAUCCCUACAGGCUCCGGGCCAUGGAUCAUCACUGGAGGCUUCGUGCCAUGGAUUAUCACUACAGGCUCCGGGCCAUGGAUCAUCACUGGAGGCUUCGUGCCAUGGAUUAUCACUGGAGGCUUCGGACCAUUGAUUAUAACUGGAGGCUUCCUACGGGGAGCUGGAACCGGUCUCACCAGACUGGGGGGACGCACAGGAGACUGGGUGUGCAGAGCAGGCACAGGGCGUACUGGGCUAUGGUGGCGCACUGGAGUGAGAGUGCGCGGAGCAGGCACAGGGUAUACUGGGCCUUGGAGGCAUACUGGAGGUCUGGCGCUGAGGGCUGGCACAACCCAUCCUGGCUCGAUGUUGACUAUAGCCCGGCAAGGGCGGGGAGCUGGAAUAGGCCGCACUGGGUUGAGCUGGCGAACUGGGGGUACCAUGCGUAGAGCUGGCGCAGGAUAACCUGGGCCGAGGAGAUGCACCGGAGACCAGGAACGCACCGGAGACCAGGCACUCCUUCCUGGCUGAAUGCCAACUCUAGCACGGCAAUGGUGAGGAGCUUGCACCGAGCGCACCGGGCUGUGAGUGCGCAUGGGCGACACCGUGCGCACCACCGCAUAACACAGUGCUUCUACAGUCACUUGCUCCCCACGGUAAGCACAGGGAGUUGGCUCGGGUCUUAACCUCGCCUUAGCCAAUCUACCCGUGUGGGCCCCCCAAAAUGUUUGGGGGCGCUGCCUCUCGGCCUCCUGUUGCUUGCCUAGCUGUUCCUCCCAGUAUCGUCGUUCCGCAUUUGCUGCCUCUAUCUCCCAUUGCGGACGGCGAUACUCACCAAGGCCUUGUCCAGGGUCCUGCCCCAUCUAGGAUCUCCUCCCAGGUCCACUCCUCUGAGCCAUACUGCUUGGUCCCGCUCCUCCUCCUGGAGAGUGCACGCUGCUUGGUCUUCUUGUGGUGGGUAGUUCUGUCACAGGCGUCGAAAUGAGUAGACCAAGGCGCAGCGUGUAUAGUGCUAAUUUUUAAACUUUUAAUGAAGACACUUGAACGAAAACAAUAAAACGAUCGACAACAGUUCCGUAAGGUACACACUGACAAAACGGAAAACAACUACCCACAAAAAUCAAAGGAAAAACAGGCUGCCUAAGUAUGGCUUCCAAUCAGAGACAACGAUUGACACCUGCCUCUGAUUGGAAACCAUACCCGUCCAAAACAUAGAACACAAAACAUAGAAUGCCCACCCACCUAUCACACCCUGGCCUAGCUAAACAGAGAAAACACAGCUCUCCUAGGUCAGAGCGUGACACCUGCACAACUCCAAAGUGAUGGGAAUACAGUUGAGAGAGAUGAAAUAAACCAAGAGAAGAAAAAGAAAGAGGGAGUUGAAAAGAAAAAGGUAUUUCAGGAGAACCAGCCAGCAAAAUGCAAAGGUAAAACAUGUGGACGAAAGAGAGAGACUUUAAAAAGAAAUACCACUAUAGAGGAUAAAGAGGAGAAUAACUAUAUUCUUGAAGUUCAGAAUGUGAAGUGAGCAUGAAUACCCUCAGAAUGUUUAUCUAUCUCUCCUAUCUAUCUCCCUCUGCAGACGUAUCAAUCUUUUCAGCUGGUUUUCAGGUCAAAGAGACUCAGCACACCCAGCAGUGCAAAGAUUCCUCAAUCUUUGCGUAGUCUGGGGUGAUGAGUCAGAUUGGCUCAGGAGGACCAGCCAGCAAAGUGCGAAGAUUUCUCCAUCUUCUCAGCUGGUGCUGAGGACAAACAGACCCUAGUGCAAAGGGAAUCUUUGUUUACAGUUGUUUUGUGCAAUGAAGCAUUUAACUCUAUAGUAGUCAUAGAUUGAUAUUUGGAUUGCAGUUUAUUAAAUUAAUAUGAUGGUCUGAUGGACUAUUGAUACUCAAACUGUCCUGAACUUGUCUGGAAAAGUCUAUUGUGUUUCGCUAAUUUGAAAGCAAAUUCAGUUUGAAAGCAUACUCAAUGCUGUACAUAUUUUAGUGUUGAGGGUACUAUAAUCAAACACACUCCUUUUGAUAUUAAUGCCAGUCAUUUUAUUUUUUCUUGUCAGAUUUCAGUUGCUGCAGCUGAGUCAAAGACUCUGAACCCUCAGGAGGAUGAGCCAGCAAAGCGCAACUGUGAAAAAAACAGAAUGAUUUCUCUGUUUUUGCUGCAGUUAGAGGAAAGAUUCAAGACACUUAGACAGACCAGGCAGCAAAGGUCAAAAGGACCUGGACAUUGACAUGGGCUGGUCAGAGACGAGCAGUGAAGGUGUGGCCAAGGUCCCCCCCCCCCCCAGCCCAGCAGGCCAAAUACUUCCAGCAGGAGAGAGGCAAGAACCAUUUGUCCACCAGCCCAGGAAAAAGUUCCCAGUCCUAUGUUAUGUGCAAUGUAAUUGCAUUGCUGGACAUUUCUAACUAAAUAUAUGUGUACUGUUUAAAAAAUUACAAAUGAAAGGAAAUGUAUGGCUUUAAUAUGUCUUUGACUUUAUAGUAAGAACAGCGUCAUAUGACACAAGGCAUUUAUGUAUGUGUUAUAAAUGACCAAAGGGGUCUGACUUUAUUAAAGAAUGUACAGCGUCAUGCGCUAUAGUCUUUCUGGAUGUGUUCUGAAUGACCAAAGGUGUCUCACUCACUAUAUUAUAAAGUGUCAAUAAAUAGGUUACUGUAGGGUGUGAGAGGUAUUUCAAUGGGUUGAUGGUGUAAUGGGAAAUGUUUAUUGUAUGUGUCCACAUAACUGUGAUUGUGACUAACCUUGUCAAACUGUGUGAAACUGUCCUGUUCUCGGAAGUAUCACCCCGUGUUGCAAACCAGCUUGCACCUGCGUCCUUGUAUAGAUCCGCCCAAGAACAGGAGACUAUAAAGAUAUGUGCCUAUCACCCAAUGCUUCGGAACUUAGACUGUCUACACUGCGCUGUUUAAGUCUGUUUCUCUCUGAGCUCAG